AUGUACGCGGCCAUCGCCUCGUCGCCAGCCCCCGAGCCGUUUAGUCUGAUCUGGGACAUCCGCUUGCCCCUGAAAAUCAGGAUCUUCCUGUGGCAAUGGAUCUGUGGCCGCCUCCCUUCCGGAGUCGAGGUCCUCAAGCGUAAUGGACCCAGAGAUGGGAUGUGCCCACUGUGCGACACGGUGGAGGAUGCUAACCACAUCUUCUUCUCGUGUUCCACGGCCUAGUUUCUUUGGUCCAGCUUUCGCGAGACGGUUGGCGGACAGUGGUGCAAUUCCAACUUCCCUGACCUUCUCACGGAGAUCAAUGCCUCCCGCCAUCGCUACCGCCAUAUCAGAUGGCUCUGCGUUGGGAUCCUCGCUUGGACACUUUGGACGGUCCGCAAUAAGCUUGUCAUCCAGAAGGUGCCUCUCAGACGCGCUACUAACGCCAUUUUUAAAAUGUGUGGGUACUUGCAGCUUUGGCGGCCGCUUAGCCACCCUCAGGAUCGGGACGUCAUCAACACCCUCCUCGCCGACCUUCGCUCGCUCGCCUUCCGCCUGGCGCCCCUGCUACCUCCGCCCCCACCGGAGCCCGACUAG
rnacentral:rRNA from 1 species